UUUGACGUGCUCUCUUGAAAUAUCUGUU
rnacentral:piRNA from 1 species